rnacentral:rRNA from 1 species
UACAGGGGGUGCAAACGUUGCUCGGAAUCAUUGGGCGUAAAGCGCACGUAGGCGGUUCGUUAUGUCGGAUGUGAAAGCCCUUGGCUUAACCGAGGAAGUGCAUCCGAAACUGGCGAGCUAGAGUACUAAAGAGGAUCGCGGAAUUCCCGGUGUAGAGGUGAAAUUCGUAGAUAUCGGGAGGAACACCGGUGGCGAAGGCGGGUCUCUGGGCAUCUCCUGACGCUGAGGCGCGAAAGCGUGGGGAGCAAACGGG